UGACUGUCCUCAACAGUGCGGUUGCCUU
rnacentral:piRNA from 1 species